rnacentral:rRNA from 1 species
UACGGGGGGAGCAAGCGUUGUUCGGAUUUACUGGGCGUAAAGGGCGCGUAGGCGGCCACCGCAAGUCGACUGUGAAAUCUCCGGGCUUAACCCGGAAAGGUCAACUGAUACUGUGCGGCUAGAGUGCGGAAGGGGCAACUGGAAUUCUUGGUGUAGCGGUGAAAUGCGUAGAUAUCAAGAGGAACACCUGCGGCGAAGGCGGGUUGCUGGGCCGACACUGACGCUGAUGCGCGAAAGCUAGGGGAGCGAACGGG